ACAUUGAUGGAUGUAAGUCUUAU
rnacentral:siRNA from 1 species